UCUUUGUCUUGCUCCCUUUCUAUCUCCUCCUCCCUAGUGUCGCUUUGCAGACAGCCUGCCUACACAGGCCUCUGUUGCAGGCUCUGCCUUCAGGGGAGCCUGGGGCUGACAGAUGUGUAUUUUGUAACAGUGUUGCUUCAGUUAUAGGGCCAUGAUGUCUGAUGCACUGGCCCGCUGCAUGUCAUAAGGAAAACAUUGGGAAAACCCUGUGUUUUGCAGCCCAACAUAACUUGAAAUAUUCCAAAUAGAAAAUAUCAGUGAUAGAAGAAACGUUGUGAUUUUAACAAGACCCCCUCCAGUAAUUAGAUGCGCAGUGAGAGUUAGAAGUUCAAAUAUGAAACUACCUAUGAAAAGCCAACAGCAUUUAAAUCCAAAAUACUGCCCUCCCUUAUUUCUUGACCCGUCCUCCUUUAGUCGGAAGGAUCUCCAUCAGGAGCUUGGAUUUUCUGCUGCCAAGGCUUUCAUUAGAACAAGUCUGACCCCUUAAGCAAACAGAGUUGGCCAGAAAUGCAUAUAAGGGUGGUACAGAGUCCACCAUCUGCCAAUGCAGGAGACCCAGGUUCGAUCCCUGGGUUGAGAAGAUCCCCUGGGGAAGGAAGUGGCAACCUACCCCAGUAUUCUUGCCUGGAACAUUCCAUGGACAGAGGAACCUGCUGGGCUACAGUCCAUGGGGUUGCAAAGAGUCAGACAUGACUGAGAUGACUUAGCACUUAGUUUUGAAUAUUGAAGUUUUUCAAAAAGUCAGAAGGACAUAGCAUAUUACUAGCCCCUUGCCUUAGAAAACCCAGCUAAGUCAACUGCUGCAGGAGUUACCUCAGAACCCAGCAUACUGGAUGGUACUGUCCCCUACUUGUCAGUAACUGCCGUGCAGCUGUGGGGAACAUGGGGGAGCGUGGCUGAAAAGAAGCAGUUCCUGAUUUGUCUUCCCAGCUUUCAGGGCAGGCUGGGCAGUUGUCAGACGUUCAGAUCACUCAGCGUAAAACCUAACUGGAAGGGGCUUUCCUGGUGGCUCAGUGGUAAAGAAUCCACCUGCCAACACAGGAGACAUGGGAAGAUCGCGGAACAACCAGAUCCCUGUGUCACAAAUGCUGAGCCCACGUGCGCAACUACUGAAGUCCAAGCACCUGGAGCCCAUGCCCGCAAUAAGAGAAGCCGCUGCAAGGAGAAGCCCCCGCACCACGACUAGAGAGGAGCACCCGAUCACUGCAACCCGAGAAAGCCCACUCACAGCAAUGAAGACCCAGUUCAGCCAUCAGUUCAGGUCUAGGCACAGAGACCUCGUCUUUUCCUGCUGGAAUAGUCUGCCAAUUGCCAGAUGGCGUGGGAUGUCUAUCCUCAACCUCUGAAGGGGCCGAGAACACCUAAGGAGCUGCUAAAAGGCAGGUUCCCAGCUCUAGUGAGCCUGAAAGUCCUUGGAAUCUGCAUGUUUAACAGGGACUAAAUACACAUUCGAAUGACCAACUUCCAAGAAGCGAAGUAAACAAAGCCCAGCUCUGCUAUUUCCAACCAGAGUCACCUGGGGUGUGUCAUUGACUUCUCUGAGCCCUAGUUUCUCUAAGAGUAAAACAACACCAACUGUGUAACGUUGGCUAUAUAACGUACUUAAAACAAUGCUUCAGAUUUCCCUGGUGGUUCAGUGGCUAAGAUUUCAUAUUCCCAAUUCAGGGAGCCUGGGUUACUUACAAUACCAUAUGUAGGGUUUCAUCCCUAAUCACUGAACUAGAAAAGACUCUUGAGAGUCUCUUGGACAGCAAGGAGAUCAAACCAAUCCAUCCUAAAGGAAAUCAACCCUGAAUAUUCAUUGGAAGGACAGACGGCUGAAGCUGAAACUCCAAUACUUUGG